AUUGAACGCUGGCGGCAGGCCUAACACAUGCAAGUCGAACGAGCGGCGGACGGGUGAGUAAUGUCUGGGAAACUGCCUGAUGGAGGGGGAUAACUACUGGAAACGGUAGCUAAUACAGCAUACCAUCGGAUGUGCCCAGAUGGGAUUAGCUGGUAGGUGGGGUAACGGCUCACCUAGGCGACGAUCCCUAGCUGGUCUGAGAGGAUGACCAGCAACACUGGAACUGAGACACGGUCCAGACUCCUACGGGAGGCAGCGGUGGGGAAUAUUGCACAAGGGGCGCAAGCCGGAUGCAGCCAUGCCGCGUGUGUGAAGAAGGCCUUCGGGUUGUAAAGUACUUUCAGCGGGGAGGCGUUACCCGCAGAAGAAGCACCGGCUAACUCCGUGCCAGCAGCCGCGGUAAUAC
rnacentral:rRNA from 1 species